CUCUCUUUGGUGGAGCCAGCUAAUAUUUCAUUAGACACUUGCAAAGAAAGCUCCUUGAGAUGCAGAUUUUAGUUUAAGUACUGGGUGUGGGAGAAGGAGAGCUUCAGGUGAAUGGGAUGUAAUGGAAAGGGAUCCAACCCAGAACCAACCGUAUUUUAAACCAGCAUUUCAUGGGAAACUAACACAGCAAGCUGCUGGUAUAUUAAUAAUGUGCUGAACUAACAGGAUGCAGCCAAAGCUGUAAAGUUUAUUUCUGCAGUGCUACAGCAGCUGUUAGUGUGAAGUAAAAGCUUGUGGAGUGGACUCAUGUAUUGCACACUACUAAUCUGAAAGCUAUUGGCACAGAAUUCCACCCCGAAUCCCUGCUAAAACAAACACCGAAAAGUUUCUGCAAGCCUAUUAAGUACAACUGCGAAUAUUUCCAUCAGGAAUAAUGCCUGGGCUUCACUGUGGUUGCUCUUACACAGGGGUUGGGGUAAUGAGAUCAGAAACCCAUGAAGCUAUUUCUCCAUGCUGCAUGAGCUUCUUUCAGCUGUCAGCACUUAUGAGGGAAGAUCCUAAACUUAUGGCUUGCCAGGGACAUACUAGCAGCAUUUAGAAGGGAAACACAGGAUUCUGAAUUCACAUCUUGAUGGAUAAGCUCUCUGGAGGAGGGACAGUCUUUUCAUUAUGUGUGUACAGCACAUGGCACAAUUGGGGCGCUAAUUCCUGUCUGGGGCCUCUAGAAGCCACUCCUAUACAAGUAAUAAAUAGUUAAUAAUUCCAAUGAGAUCCUGCUGUAUAUUCUGUAAAUGACAAGUCAUGUGAGAGGCUAGUGAGAGGCCAUUCAACAUGUUGUAAAGAACAA